CGUGGAAACUUUGAAAAUGUCUGUCGUAGGGUGAAGCAGCUGGUGGAGUGUCAGUCGUUCGGCAGUACUUGGGAUGGAGAAGUUCAUUUUAGAUUUUGCCUGAUCUCCUGAGUUUCUACAGUUUUUCACAGGAUCCCUACAGUGUGGAAACAGGCCAUUUGAUCCGACAAGUCCACACCAACCCUCCAACAAGCAUCUCAGCCAGACCCACCUCCCUACCCUUUUCCUGUAACCCUACAUUUCCUAUGGCUAAUGCACCUAACCUAUACAUCCCUGGAUAUUGUGAACAAUGUAGCAUGGCCAAUUCACCUCACUUACACAUCUUUGAACUGUGGGAGGAAACCAGAGCACCCAGCAUAAACCCACCCAGACACAGGAAGAACGUGCAAACUCCACACAGACAGUUGCCCGAGGCUGGAAUUGAACCCAGGUCCCCGGUCCUGUGAGGUAGCAGUGCUAACCACUGUGCUGCCAGUUGUUCUUAUUUUCUGUGAGACUCAUCUGUUGGAUAGGGAUAAUAUUUCUGUUAUGUAUUUAUUAACUGAUUAUAUUAAUAUCAUUUAAAUUUGUGGAACUGCCAAAGAUUAGAAAUGAAACAGGCAAUGGGUUUAGAAUGGUAGAGAUACGUUUAGUUUGAUAAAUGGCACUGAAAGUUCUGUAUUUUGGCUUUUAUGAUCACAGUUAAUUGUAAUGUAUAAUACAUAACUUUGGCUUGUUUGUUGAUAUGUUGUAGCAUUUAGUUACAAAGUACACUGUAUUUAUGUUUUUUACACAUUUGUAGUGGUUUGUAAUGGUGGCUGCUUUGUUGCCAUAUUGUAACCAAACAGGAAGCCUGAACAGUUAGUGUUAAAAAGCCCAAUAUUCAUCAUAAAUAAACCCAAUUUAGAGAUGCUAACCAGGCUCACAAAGCCUCACAAAUCCAGCACCACUUCCCCCACACCAACAUGAUUGCUCCUGCAAACUUGAGACAAUUGAUGAUGGUUCUGAGAUGUUUAGAAGAACAUUGAAUACAGGAAUCAAGACAUCCAUGUUGCAGCUGUACAAAACAUUCUUAAGGUCAUAAGACCAUAAGACGUAGGAGUGGAAGUAAGGCCAUUCGGCCCAUCGAGUCCACUCCACCAUUUAAUCAUGGUUGAUGGGCAUUUCAACUCCACUUCCCUGCACUUUCCCCGUAGCCCUUAAUUCCUUGUGAGAUCAAGAAUUUAUCAAUCUCUGUCUGGAAGACAUUUAAUGGCCCGGCCUCCACUGUGCUCCGUGGCAAUGAAUUCCACUGGUCCACCACUCUCUGGCUGAAGAAAUGUCUCCUCGUUUCUGUUCUAAAUUUACCCCCUCUAAUUCUAAGGCUAUGCCUACGAAUCCUAGUCUCCCCGCCUAACGGAAACAACCUCCCAGCAUCCACCCUUUCUAAGCCAUAAGUAAGUUUCUAUUAGCUCUCCCCUCAACCUUCUAAACUCUAAUGAAUACAAUCACAGGAUCCUCAGCCGUUCAUCGUAGGCCUACCAUUCCAGGGAUCAUCCGUAUGAAUCUCCGCUGGACACACUCCAGUGACAGUAUGUCCUUCCUGACAUGUGGGGCCCAAAAUUGGACAGUGUUCUAAAUUGGGCCUAACUAGAGCUUUAUAAAGUCUCAGAAGCACAUCGCUGCUUUUAUAUUCCAACCCUCUUGAGAUAAGUGACAACAUUACAUUUGCUUUCUUAAUCACAGACUCAACGUGCAAGUUAACCUUUAGAGUAUCCUGGACUAGAACUCCCAGAUCUCUUUGUACUAUGGCUUUAUGAAUUUUCUCACCGUUUAGAAAAUAGUCUGUGCCUGUAUUCUUUUUUCCAAAGUGCAAGACCUCGCAUUAGCUCACGUUGAAUUUCAUCAGCCAUUUCCUGGACCACUCUCCUAUACUGUCUAAAUCUUUCUGCAGCCUCUCCACCUCCUCAGUACUACCUGCCUGUCCACCGAACUUGGUAUCAUUGGCAAACUUCGCCAGAAUGCCCCCAGUCCCUUCAUCCAGAUCAUUAAUAUUAAAGUGAACAGCUGCAGCCCCAACACUGAACCCUGUGGGACACCACUUGUUACUGGUUGCCAUUCUGAAAAAGAACCUUUUAUCCCAACUCUCUGCCUUCUGUCAGACAGCCAAUCCUCAAUCCAUGCCAGUAGCUCACCUCGAACACCAUGGGCACUCACCUUACUCAACAGCCUCCCGUGAGCCAUCUUAUCAAAGGCCUUUUGGAAGUCUAGAUAGGUAACAUUCACUGGGUUUCCCUGAUCCAAGCUACUUGUUACCUCUUCAAAGAAUUCUAACAGGUUUGUCAGGCACGACCUCCCCUUACUAAAUCUAUGCUGACUUGUUCUAAUCUGACCCUGCACUCUCAAGAAUUUAGAAAUCUCCAUGGAACUUGCUGACAUCCUGAAUGAAACAACCAGCAAAUCGGCAGGCAGCAGUUGGUCAGCUAUUAAGAUCAUGACAGGUGGGGACAUUACCAGUGACCAGAAGGAAUGGAUUUCAAAUAACAUGAGUUGGAAAUUCUGAAGUGUGUGUUGGGUCAUAAAAAGAAACUUUGGGGCAAGGACAGAAAUAAUUUAUUUGUCAAGCCGAGAGGGAAACUCUUUUAUUUUUAUUCAUUCUCAGGAUGAAGGUGUCGCUGGAUAGGCUAGUGUUUAUUGCCCAUACCUAAUUGCCUGGAGCAGUUAAGAGUUGCAUGUAAACCAGACCAGGUGAAGAUAGCAGUUUCCUUCCUGAAAGGACAUUAGAGUACCAGAUGUGUUUGUUUCUGAAAAUUGACACGUGUUCACUAUUCGUUUCUUCAUUCCAGAUAUUUAUUGAAUUCAAACUCCACUGUCUGCUAUGGUAGGAUUUGAACCCAGUCCCCAGAACCUGAGUCUCUAGAUUAAUAGCCCAGUGAUAAGACCCAUAAGUCAUCGACUCUCCCAAACUUAUCCUGGUCCGUAAAGGAACGAAACAGAAGCAUAUCUUAUUGAAGUCUCUUGUGGUCCUGAGCAACAUUCUCCCUAACUUCUUUGUGCUGUAUUCAGCAAAGGUGCGGGCUGUUUUGUACUGCAUACAAUUCUAGUCACCCUGCCAUAGGAAGAAUGUUAUUAAACUUGAAAGGUUGCAAAAAUGAUUUACAAGCAUGUUACUAAGACCGCAAGUGAGAGGCAAUGGCCUAAUAGUAUUAUCGCUGGACUGUUAAUCCAGAGACCCAGGUAAUGUUAUGGAGUUCUGGGUUUCAAUCCUGCCACGGCGGAUGGCGGAAUUUGAAGUCAAUAAAUAUCUGGAAUUAAGAUUCUAAUGAUGACCAUGAAUCCAUUGCGAGUUGUUGGGAAAAAUCCAUCUAGUUCACUAAUGCCCUUCAGAGAAGGAAACCCUCAUUGUUACUGGUCUGGCCUAAAUGUGACUCCAGACCCACAGCAAUGUGGUUGACUCAUAACUGUCCUCUGAGCAAUUAGGGAUGGGCAAUAAAUGCUGGCCUAGCCAGCGACACCUUCAUCCUGUGAAUGAAUAAAGGAAAAAAAAGACUCCAGCCCAACAGAGCUUUGGUUUUUGACUCUGUGCCAGCUGCUCCCUUACUCCACAGAUCCAUCCCCAUCUCUCCUACCACCACCAGCCAUUGACAGUGCCCUAUGUUCCUUGUGCCUCUGCGAGCAUCAGAUUUGACUUGUCAAAGUAUCCCACUGACCUUUCAGAAAACUGGACACAGCCGAUACCACCACGAUUCAGUCAUGGCUGAUCUUCUGUCUCAGCUCUACAGUCCUGCCUGUUUCAAUAUGUCUGUCAGUUUGCUGGGAGAUCACAAAGCUAUCUCAGCCAUCAGUAAGUUCAGCGAUGGAGCAUCCACAAUGCUCAGCGUGAGAAUUUCAAAGAUUCAUAUCCAUGUGAAUGAAGAAAUUUUUCCUCAUCUCAAUUCUAAAUGAUCGAUGCUCUAUUCUAGGGCUGUGUCCUCAUGAGAUAACAAAGUGUGGAGCUGGAUGAACACAGCAGGUCAAGCAGCAUCUUAGGAGCACAAAAGCUGAUGUUUCAGGCCUAGAUCCUUGCUCCACACUUUGUUAUCUCAGAUUCUCCAGUUGCCAUUAUCUCUGUGUCCUCAUGAUAUGGGUGUCUCCUACGAUAGGGAUGUCCCAACCAAGCAAAACAUAUUGAGCGUCUUCAGAAUCUUAGGUUUCAAUGAGAUCCCCUCUCAAUUUUUUAAACUGACAGAAAUGACCUAAUUAUGCUACACCUAUUAAAAGAUACUUACAUCUAUGAACUAUGUUUUAAAUGGUAAAAAAUUGCAGCAUGCUGCUGUGCAGAGGGACUUGGGUGUCCUUGUGCAUGAGUCGCUAAAAGUAGGAUUGCAGAUGCAGCAGGUAAUUAAAAAGGCAAAUGGAAUUUUGUCUGUCAUUGCUAGAGGGAUGGAGUUUAUAAACUGGGAGGCUAUGCUGCAGCUGUAUAGGGUCCUGGUGAGGCCACACCUGGAGCACUGUGUGCAGUUUUGGUCUCCUUACUUGAGAAGGGAUAUACUAGCACUGGAGGGGGUGCAGAGGAGAUUUACUUGGUUGAUUCCAGAGUUGAGAGGCUGGGAUUAUGAGGAGAGACUGAGUAGGCUGGGAUUACACUCAUUGGAAUUCAGAAGAAUGAGGGAAGACCUUAUGGAAACAUACAAGAUUAUGAAGGGAUUAAAUAAGGUGGAGGCAGGGAGGUUGUUUCCACUAGCAGGUGAAAUUAGGACUGGGGGCAUAGCCUCAAAAUACAGGGAAGCAGAUGUAGGACUGAGGUCAGGAGGAACGUCUUCACCCGAAGGGUUGUGAAUCUGUGGAAUUCCCUGCCCAGUGAAGUGGUUGAAGCUGCCUCGAUGAAUGUGUUUAAGGCAAGGCUAGACAAAUUUUUGAACAAUAAAGGAAUUAAGGGGUCAUGGUGUGCGGGCAGGUAAGUGGAGCUAAGCCUCAAAAAGAUCAGUCAUGAUCUUAUUGAAUGGCGGGCAGGCUCGAGUGGCCGGAUGGCCUAUUCCUACUCCUAGUUCUUAUGUUCUAUGCCAUUUUCACAAUUCAAUCCAGAAGUAAACUUCCGUACAGGACUCUGUCCUAACCCGAAACAUCAACUUCCUGGCUCCGCUGAUGCUGCCUGGCCCGCUGACCUCCUCCAGCUCCACGCUGUUACAGCUAUGUAUUAAGAGGUUGUUUUAGUAUUGUUCCAAAAUGCAAUAAUUUCUCAUCAAGAUAGUUUUACAAUUGCUGCACAUGUUAAAAUCAAAUGGUAUUAAGAUUCAAUAAACAUUUAAUAUAUUCAAAAUUUGAUUGCAGAGCAUAAACACAUUGCUUCCUACUGUUUUGUAUAUAUUUUAUGAAUGUGGAUUUAUACUUUGUACAUGUAUGUAAUUGUAUUCAGUUUACGGGCAGAAUAUUAGGCUUCAUAAAGUGGCAUGGGCAUUGAAGUGAAAGUUGACAAAACAUGGCAAGAAUAAAUAAAAAUUGGAAUUAGAAUCUCAA